rnacentral:rRNA from 1 species
AUUGAACGCUGGCGGAAUGCUUUACACAUGCAAGUCGAGCGGCAGCGCGGGGGCAACCCUGGCGGCGAGCGGCGAACGGGUGAGUAACACAUCGGAACGUACCCUGUCGUGGGGGAUAACGAAUCGAAAGAUUCGCUAAUACCGCAUACGACCUGAGGGUGAAAGCGGGGGAUCGCAAGACCUCGCGCGAGAGGAGCGGCCGAUGGCGGAUUAGCUAGUUGGUGGGGUAAAGGCCCACCAAGGCGACGAUCCGUAGCGGGUCUGAGAGGACGGCCCGCCACACUGGGACUGAGACACGGCCCAGACUCCUACGGGAGGCAGCAGUGGGGAAUUUUGGACAAUGGGGGCAACCCUGAUCCAGCCAUUCCGCGUGAGUGAAGAAGGCCUCGGUUGUAAG